rnacentral:pre_miRNA from 1 species
AAAGUACUCCCUCCGUCCCAAAAUUCUUAUCUUAGAUUUUUCUAGAUACAGAUGUAUCAAGUCACAUUUUAGUAUUAGAUACAUCCAUAUCUAGACAAAUCUAAGACAAGAAAUUUGGGACAGAGGGAGUAGUUG